rnacentral:rRNA from 1 species
CUAAAUACUCGUGAUCGACCGAUAGUGAACCAGUACCGUGAGGGAAAGGCGAAAAGAACCCCGGGAGGGGAGUGAAACAGAUCCUGAAACCGCAUGCAUACAAACAGUCGGAGCCUCGCAAGGGGUGACGGCGUACCUUUUGUAUAAUGGGUCAGCGACUUACAUUCAGUGGCAAGCUUAACCGAUUAGGGCAGGCGUAGCGAAAGCGAGUCCGAACAGGGCGUUCAGUCGCUGGGUGUAGACCCGAAACCAGGUGAUCUAUCCAUGGCCAGGAUGAAGGUGCGGUAACACGUACUGGAGGUCCGAACCCACUA